rnacentral:rRNA from 1 species
GAUGAACGCUGACAGAAUGCUUAACACAUGCAAGUCAACUGUGGCGGACGGGUGAGUAACGCGUAAAGAACUUGCCUCACAGAUAGGGACAACAUUUGGAAACGAAUGCUAAUACCUGAUACUGUGAGAGAGCUUUGCGUCACAUUAGCUAGUUGGGGAGGUAACGGCUCACUAAGGCGAGGAUGGGUAGCCGGCCUGAGCGGGUGAUCGGUCACAAGGGGAAUGAGACACGGCACUUGCUCAUACUGGAGGAAGCAGUGGGGACUAUUGGACAAAGGACCAAAGUCUGAUCCAGCAAUUCUGUGUGCACGAUGAAGUUUUGGGAAUAUAAAGUGCUUUCAGUUGGGAAGCGGUACCAACAGAAGAAGUCACGGCUAAAUACGUGCCAGCCGCCGCGGUAAUU